rnacentral:lncRNA from 1 species
ACGGGAACCACAACUGCGAACAUGGGACAGCCUUAGAGAAUCUUUCCCCUUAUCUGGCCCUGGACAAACUCUUGUGAUGCUGUUUACUUAUCUCUCUCUCCCAUUAGAUCACAAGUUUAAUAGGGUCAGACAUCUCAUCCUGCUGUCCCCACGUCCAGUGCUGCCACAUGAUAGACGCUCUAUAAGUCGUUGUCAAAGGAAUGGAUACAUGGAUGGAUGCAUGUAUGCAUGAUUGAAUAGAUACAUGGAUGGAUAGGUGCAUGGAUGGAUAGGUGCAUGGAUGGUUGGAUAGAUGCAUGGAUGGAUAGGUGCAUGGAUGGAUAGAUGCAUAGAUGGAUAGGUGCAUGGAUGGAUGGAUAGGUGCAUGGAUGGAUAGAUGCAUGGAUGGAUGGAUAGAUGCAUGGAUGGAUAGGUGCAUGGAUGGAUGGAUAGAUGCAUGGAUGGAUAGAUAGCUAUAGAUUUAACUGUGUCACUCGUACUUUAGCACUCCUCAGUAUUGCCAAUAACUAUCAAAAUUCAGUGUGCACAAUUCGUUUUAAAGUAAAUUACACAAUAGUAAUACUGACACAUGUACAAAGAUACAUGUGCAAGAUGGCCCCUGCACUGUUGUGUAUUAUACAAAAAUAUUGGAGCAGCCUGAUGUCUGGCAGUAGGAAGAGGGAGGCCUUGAGGGCAAGGACUGUGUUUUGUUCGCUGCUCAAUCCUUAGCACCUGGACUGUGCCUGGUACAUAAUAGAGGUCAAUAAAUGUUUGUCGCAUGAAGGAAAGCGUCAUCACUGAGAUGCCAUGCAGCUGUUGAGAAGGAUGCUGGAGAUGUGUGUGUGCUAAGGUGAGAGAUGUCCACCCUAUCGUGGCAAAGCAAGUCAUAGAACAGUGUGUAAGGGAAGAGCUGACUUUUGUGAAAAAAAAAAUAGAUGUUUUUAUAUAUACAUAGGAUCUUGAGGGGCCGGCCCCGUGGCGCAGCGGUUGGGUUCCCACAUUCUGCUUCUCGGCUGCAUGGGGUUUGCCGGUUUGGCUCCCAGGUGUGGACAUGGCACCACUUGGCACACCAUACUGUGGUAGGCGUCCCACGUAUAAAGUAGAGGAAGAUGGGCACGGAUGUGAGCUCAGGGCCAGUCUUCCUCAGCAAAAAGAGGAGGAUUGGCAGCAGAUGUUAGCUCAAGGCUAAUCUUCCUCAAAAAAAAAAACAAAAGAAGAAGAAGAAGAAUCUUGAGGGAUACACCCUAAACUGUUACCAGGGGGUUCCAUCUGAGGAGAAGGUUUGGAGG